GAGGUCGCGGGCCGAGGACCAGGCGCGGGAGCGGGAGCGGGCGACUGGCCGGGCCCUCCCGGUCUCGGCAGCCACUUCUAGCUCCCGGCCCAGCCGGGAGACGCAGGUGCCACGGAGAUGGGCAGCCGGGCGGGUGGCGCAGUGCAGGCAGCUGUAUCAAUCGCUUCCCCUCCAGGGACCCGCCGGUGCCUGGGGACCGCGGGCUGUGCAGCUGUGCCGGGCCUGCGGAGGCCGCCGCCCGGGAGCUGGGAGGCAGGGGGCGCGUGGUCAAGAGCCGCCCUCGACCUGGCCUGGUCGGUCCUGGCCCGGCGUAGGUGACGAUGGCGGGGACCGCGAGGCGCCGGACACCCGAGGCCACGAGCAGCGUCGCCCCUCGCUUUUUCGCGCCCCUCCAGCCCUGCAGUCCUUCCUCUAAGUCCGUCUGCCCCUCACCGAUUGAAAGUGGCCCCGAGAAUAUUGGAUGAGUGAUCUGGUGUCAGGACUGUAAAAUACGCCUAUGAAAACUGGGGGAGAGGAAUAAAACAAGCUGGCAGAACGUUUUUCAUCGUUGAAGCUGCGUGAUGCGAGCAUAUGUGCUCAUCAUACAGUCUCUUUACUUGUGUAUCUGAAAUUUUCCAUAAUAAAAAGUUUAAAGAAGUGAACCAGCGAUUGCCUCUAGGGAGGACAGUGAGGUGGCGGAUGACGGGAGGAAGGAGUCUUAAUUUUUCGCUGUACGCCUUUUUGUGCUAUCUUAGGUUUUUCCCAUUCAAUGUGUUACCUAAUUCAGAAAAUUGGUAAGUUUUUUUUAAGGCUACCAUGGGAAAACAGCGUUCUAAAGAGUAGCGCAACCAGUUCCCCCUAAGAGAGGUGCAUGAUUCGUCGGACUCCGACAGCCUUGGUGUUUGUUAGGCGGUUAAUGGAGACCCACCUGGGAAAUUAGAAAACUACUAAUUGCUUUCAGUGAGAAGCCCGCCCUUCUCCCACAAAUGGAUAAUUUGCUUUUAAUGCACCCAGAAGUUAUCCAGCUCCCUCCGGUAUAAUCGGGGAAACUCCAAAUAAAGGAAAAAUAGUUCAGAGACCCUGCAGCUCUUCCCAAGAGGAAUUUAAGGUGGAUUUUAGUGUGGUUGGAUUGUUUUGCCUACCUGACUGCAGAAUUUAUAUUCUGACAUUUACAAUUUCCUAAAUACUGAAUCAGUACUUUUUCUUGUUUCAAAAUAAAUCAACUUCUUCUGUAGUUUAUAUGAAAAACAAGUCCAUGUCUUCCACUGUGGGUGGGAUGCACAUGACUGUUUUAUUUGGGUCAGUUUUGUCUCUUUUUUUAAUUGGCAGUUUAGGAACUUGUUUUUAUCAUUUUGUUUAAAGAUCUUCUGGCAGAGGUGCAGGCUGCACUUACUAUAAUUAUUUAGAUGACAAGGUGGUGGGUGGUAAUUAAAGGGUAAUUAUCAUCAGAGGCAAAAGGUAAGAUCAAAAAACCAGAAGAGGUGAGGAAACAAUUGCAAGAUCUUCCUGUAGGAGGGUGUCGUGAUCCUCCCAAGACCAAAGGAUAUGUCUAUUAUGCCUGGCCUCUCUAGUGCUGGACACUUGGCAGGGUCAGUGCCUGCAUGAGGCUGAAGUGGAAGGGCUUAUUGUUUAGACUGGUGCCUUUUGAGGGCUUUUAUGUGAUGGUUGUGUUAAGUAAUGAAACUUAGUAGUGUCAAAUUCUUGCCACUCAAAGAAUGAUCCCCAAUCAGCAGUGUAGCAUCACCUGGAAGCCUGUAAGGAACGCAUAAUUCCUAUCCCUCACCCCAGCUCCACUGAAUCAGAACCUGCAUUUUAACAGGAUUCCCCCAGCUGAUUGGGCUGCACAUUAAAGUUUGACAAGCACUGAUUUAAAGUAUACCCAUAGCAUUUGACAGCAAUCUAGUAUUUUUCGUUAGGAUGAGGGAGAGGAAGGGAGAUGAUUAAGAACCUCCUAUGCAUCAGGUAAGAUGCUAGGCUGUUCAGGGGCCUUGUCUGCUUCCCAGUCCAUUACUCUAUCUUACAAGUAAGGAAAUGGGAAGACUUGUAUGUUACAACUAAUGAGGGAGUCAAACUUUUUCUUGACGGUUGGAUACCCUUUAGUACUUCUUGGUGUUCUUGAAUCUGGUAGAAAGUGGUACAUGAUUUGAGAAGUAAAGUGUGUGUGAGUGUGUGUGUGUGUGUGUGUGUGUGUGUGUAUUUAGUCUGUGGAAGCUUAGUAUAUGAAUAUUAAGCAGAGCUCUUCUGGGCUCUGUACCCUUGUGUGGCUCACACUAAAGACACCCCUCGGGCCCCUCCUGGAGGGAGUUCAGACUCCUGGCCCUGCAGGCUGUACCACCACCUUAACCCCUUACCUCCCUGCUUCCACUGAGGCAAGCAAAUGCCCUGAAGUCCCCUCAUUCCCUUACCAGGGCCCUGGGUUCCACACCAGAAUGAGCAAACAGAACUCCAGUGUGGGUAACACAUGGCUGAACAGCUUUUUGUUGUAUUGUUUUUGUUUUCUUAGUUCUCUCAGCUCAGGCUCCAUCCCCCUGGCCACCUCAACCCCUAGAAUGGUUGUCUCCAUUUCAUGAGAAUCUUCACACUAACAUCAAGUAGCCAGUAGGUGCUUUUGGUUUUGCUAGAAUGCCUGUGUGCAAGCUCUCAGAUACCUGAUUUUCUUUCCCCCACUGAAUGUUGUGUUUGUCAGAAACUGAAAUCAUGGAUCAGAGCCAAGUUUGUAGUACCCUUAGGAGGGGCCUCUGCCCUCCUGUGUGCUGCCUGGGUGAGGACAGAACCCCCUAACCUGGAGCUCCACUUGAGUGGGCCCAUACCUGUACUUUCCUCUGAAAAAAGAAAAUCCUGCAAAGAAAAUAGAAGACAUCUGUUCUGCCAUUGCCAUGCCCUUGUUCUAGCCCAGACAUGAGAACUGUCAGAAUUGGAGUUACUAAAUAGAACUUUUAGUCUUUUUCUGAUAAUGUGUAGUAAAGUGUAUUACAACUUAUAGAAUUCUAUUUAGGGAACUACAGGUCAGAAACUACCAUAUUGGUAGCAGUCAAUUUUUCUUUGCCAUCGGAUGUGGAAUAAAAUGUUAAAUUGUA
rnacentral:lncRNA from 1 species